rnacentral:rRNA from 1 species
AUUGAACGCUGGCGGCAUGCCUUACACAUGCAAGUCGAACGGUAACAGGUCUUCGGAUGCUGACGAGUGGCGAACGGGUGAGUAAUACAUCGGAACGUGCCCGAUCGUGGGGGAUAACGAAGCGAAAGCUUUGCUAAUACCGCAUAAGAUCUACGGAUGAAAGCAGGGGACCGCAAGGCCUUGCGCGAACGGAGCGGCCGAUGGCAGAUUAGGUAGUUGGUGGGAUAAAAGCUUACCAAGCCGACGAUCUGUAGCUGGUCUGAGAGGACGACCAGCCACACUGGGACUGAGACACGGCCCAGACUCCUACGGGAGGCAGCAGUGGGGAAUUUUGGACAAUGGGCGAAAGCCUGAUCCAGCCAUGCCGCGUGCAGGAUGAAGGCCUUCGGGUUGUAAACUGCAUUUGUACGGAACGAAAAGACUCUGGUUAAUACCUGGGGUCCAUGACGGUACCGUAAGAAUAAGCACCGGCUAACUACGUG